rnacentral:lncRNA from 1 species
GGCACCAACGUCUGAUAGAGCAGACAUAAUAUAAAUAUUUACAUUGCAGGAGAACUAUACAUCUCAUACAAUGUGUAACGGCCCCAGAAUUUUAAAAUGAAAUGUGUGUAUUAAAAAGGUCAAAUGCGGAAGCAGAAAAAAAAUUUGAUUAACAUCCCUUACACUAAAACCAAAAACGUGCUCAAAGUAUAAAAGAACAAACUAACUAAAAGAGAAACUCGAAAAUAAAAGCUAUAAAUAUAACUACGGAGUCUUCAGGCGUCCCCUUCGCCGUCUUCCUGCAGAACGGGCUCGGGAACAAUGUCUUCCUGAUCUAAAAUUAUUAAAUAAGGAAUGAGCUACACCAGCCCAGUAAAGACAUCACACUAUCUCACCGUCACGGAGGUAAAGGUGGGUAGAAAAUACAAAAAGACCAAUGGAGCAUAAUUUACAACAAAUUCUUUUAUCAAUAAUAAAAUCCUUUACUAUCCACUUAUCUCGGUGAAAUUUAUAAAACAAUAUACGAAAGCAGUAACAUUAUCAUUAUCAUGAAAUCAUAUGAGCUGUAUAACAUAAUACUUAUCACACCUUUGCAAUUCAAUCAUUACACAACACAUUUUUCCUCAUUUACCAGUCUACUAGUAUCCAUGGGGAUCCAUAGGGGUCCCACUACCCGUGAACCUUUAACACUUGUAAUCAGAUUCCAGGGCCGUCCCCAUAUCCCGUCCGGUAUGGGUGCCAAAACUAUAAACCUCAAUACCCCGUCCGAUAUGAGGGUGAAACGGGCCGUCCUCAUACCCCGUCCGGUAUGAGCGCCAAAACACAUAAGGUCUCCAUACCCCGUCCGGUAUGAGAGACCACAAUCCCGGUAGGGUUUCCUACGGACCCGAUCCNNNNNNNNNNNNNNNNNNNNNNNNNNNNNNNNNNNNNNNNNNNNNNNNNNNNNNNNNNNNNNNNNNNNNNNNNNNNNNNNNNNNNNNNNNNNNNNNNNNNNNNNNNNNNNNNNNNNNNNNNNNNNNNNNNNNNNNNNNNNNNNNNNNNNNNNNNNNNNNNNNNNNNNNNNNNNNNNNNNNNNNNNNNNNNNNNNNNNNNNNNUCCCCAUACUGCAUUUAAAACUGUAAAAUAGGUCAAACAACAGCUGACCAACAAACACACCAGACUCGGGCUCCAUUAGCGACCUUAAACAAUUUCACACAUCUAUUGAUUCAUGAAAUGCCGUUUUAUCAUUUAUUGAACUUUAAUACCGUGAUAGAAAAAAGAGUGAGGGGCCCUUACUUGUUUCGGGGUCCGAAUACGGCUCUACAAUGCGCCUGCAGGCUGUCCCUAAUUUUCCCUAAAUUUUUUCCAGGAAACUGAAAUACACUACUGGUACCUGCACGUGUCCCAAAAAAUCUCAAAUUAGACCCAGGGCCCCUUUCGGUCAAUAUCGCAAUUCCGGCACGGCGGCUCCGCUGCUUGCGGCGGUGAUUCGCCUCGGGUUGGCCGUUUUUGGCCGAAUUCGGCCACACUUGCAUCGGUCCCUGUGAUAAAACAACCCUAGGGCCCUCGGGGGGCCAAAAAAAUUACGAAAAACUGAAGCUUACCGGCGGCGGUGCUCUCGGGUGCGGCGGCUCUCCGGCGAGGUUCGUAUUUUGGUGAUUUGGCUCCGAUCAACCUGUAGAGAAAAGAAUGAUGAUCACGGUGAUAUAAAAAUUGUAUCAAACAGAGGCCGGGAAGGGCCUCAUCGGAGGCAAAAACUGAGGAGGGGCGCGGCGGCGCCGCUGGGUUUCGGCCAUGUUUUCCGGCCGUUUGGCUGGGAUUUUGGCUCCGAUUUGGCCACAGGGAACUCAGCGUGGAAAAAUGAGCCGGGGGUAUGAAAUUUACCUCGAUCAAAGGUCGGAAAACUCCCCGGUGCGGCGGUGGGUGGCGGCGGCCGGCUCCUCCGGCGUCUGGUUCGUCUUCUCCGGCGAGGGCAGGCGGCUAGGGUUUUUGUGGUCAGGUGUGGGGGUUUUAUUUAUACCAUUUUGCUUUUUGAUCACAGCUGUCCAUUUUUAUUAAAUCUAGGCCGUCCGUGCGCGCGGGGAUGCAUCUGGGUCGUCCGAUCGCGCGCACGCGGAUCGCCCACGUGGCCCAUUCCCGGGUCGACGUGGUCUUGCCACGCGGCAGGUCCUGGUUGGCCAGGGCUGCUAACUGGGCCACUGACGUGGCUGCUGACGUGGCACUGACGGCGCACAAUUUUUUUAAAUUGCAUUUUGACCUCUGGUUUCCGAUUUUCUUUUCAAAAAUACCCCCAGAAUCCUAAUUUUCACCCCUUUUUUCCAAAAUCAAUUUCAAUUAAAUCCAAAUAAUAUUUUUACCCAAUUUUACAAUUAUUGUUAUUUUUAUUUUUUAUUAAAUUAAAAUAAAAUAAAAUAAAUAAAAAUAAAAUUAAUAAUAAUAAUAAAAAUAAUUUAAAAAUUAUUGGGCGUUACACAAAGUUUACAAAAGAUUUUAUACUGAGGCCCAAUAGACUAUCUACAUUUCAAAAUGCAAAAUAAGAGAUAACCUAGUUACAGAAGACUAGCCUUAAGUCUAAAACAAAAUACAGAAUCUGUUACAAACUACUCUUCCCAAAAGGAAUCUAAACAGAGUUCCCCAGUGUUUUCCUCUAAAUAUACAUCUAAAGGAGGGGGUUGAAUUUGGUUGAGUUUCAAUACUCAGUAAGAUAGAUAGAAAUAAUCUAAUAUAGAUACAUUUCAAAACCUUCAUUAAUGCAUACUUGAAAAAUUAGAGUUCCCAAUAUAAUUAACAGAUCAAAUGAAAUGCCAUAGUCAAAUCCCAUAACUAACAUUCAUAUCUAACUCAAAUGUUCAUCUCAUACAAAUUAUUAAAAGGACACUCAAUAUUGUACUCGAUCGAUUUACACAACUCACACACCUAAGACCAAACUCGUCUUUUGACAUAGUUUUAAUUACCAAUUAUUAUCUUAAUUUAAAUUGCAUAAAUUACAAACCUACGCAUGUAGCCGCUUACACCUAUUUCCAAAUAUGACAAAUGGGAUACCAACUAGUUAUUGGUGGGUGCGCAAAUGUUUAUAAACAUACAAUCACAGAUAAUAAAUACAAAUAUAAUUCUCUCAAGUCUCUCCACGUCGCCAUUAUUCAUGCUCUUUGGCCACAGAACAUGAAUAUCAAAUCGCCUAGAGUCCCUAAAGACAACUAAACUAAAUGUCUCCUUAAGAAACCAAAACCAACACCCAUAACAUAGUGACUCCUGAACAAAUAAGCAAAUCAAAUAUCCCCAGAAGAAAUAGGGUGAAUCGAAUUUAAAUAAGACUUUGUUUAUUUAAUUUUUUUCUUUUAUUUUAUUUGGUUAAAUUCUUGAACUUCAUUAUCUUUCCCUAAAUUCAUAAAUUUUAUUAUAAUUCUAAAAAAUUAAGAUGUNNNNNNNNNNNNNNNNNNNNNNNNACCAGUCAUCCUUACUAAUUGAUCCAUUUUUAUCUCAAAUAAUUUCCAUAAUCCCAAAUUUUACAAAUGUCCUUUUUCUUUUAACUCACGUCGUGCCCCAGGCGCAUUUCUGAACUGUUCUGGGUCUCCAGAAAUGUCCCAUACAUGCCUGCAAGCUGCAGGACAGCACACGCCCAGUAGCAGCAGCACCUUGGUGCCACAUGCUUGUGACAGAACCAUUAUGUUCAAUUCCUUGAAAAUUUUUUUCUGCUUUCUUUGUUUUCUUAGCAUCAAUCACCAAAACCCAUUCACUCUAUUCAUUCAUGCAUAAAAAAUAUAUUUUAAUUUGUAAAAAUCACAUUUUAUGACACAACACAAAUUAGCUUAACACAUGUAGCAUCACCAAAUUAAUUCAAGCAGUUUAAUCGUCAAAUGUAUCUAAAAAUAUUAAAUCAUACAUCAACAAGAUUUCUACCCAUCUUAUCCAUUAAACGCAUGAAAAAGAAGCUAAAUCGCACAAAGCAGAUGUUAGAAAUUCAAGAAUUCUUCUCUACAACUCACAGUAGCUAUGCUUGCAGAGUAGAGUGAUGAUUUUGAGUUAGAUUUUUAGAUUAAAAGUUGUUUUACUUUUGGAAAAUAAAAUCUUAACACUCUUAAUACAUUAUCUUAGUGAUUGACUAUGAAUCUUUGAAAGGAAACACGAAACAAAAGUGGAAUUGAACGAAGAACAGACGCUUACCUGAACAGAGGCAUCGUUCAGAUGCAGCAGCAACGGUUUUGGAUCCUGGAGCUUGUUGCUACAAUUUGAGAGCUAGAUUUUUGUGUAGAAGUGACUGUACGACAUUAAAGAGAGAAACAAAACAAUUCAGAAGAAGAAGAAACAACUUACCUCAGCGAGAAGAAGAAGUUUCCCCCCUCUGUUAGGCACACAGAAUGUAUACUCUGUUCUGGUGCGUCACUCUCUCUCUCUCUGCUGAUUUUUGCUCUCAAUCUCCCCUCUCACUCACUUAUUAAACUGGAAUUUUGGGUUUGAAGAAGUUGAAAACAAAGAUGUGAAGAGAAGGAAGCCUGUAUUGACACUUGGCCGGCCCUCAUAACAACCCACCAUCUGGCUCGGUUACGACCACAAUUAUGGUGUUCGUGGG